rnacentral:lncRNA from 1 species
AUGACAGUAAAGAAAGUAGAAUGCUGCCUAAGAAAAACACAAAAAGGUAAUGAAACAGAGAUCAUCAUCAACAGAUGAGACAGAGAUCACAACACUGUCAAUGCAGUUACUGUUGCUUUAUUGGUUAAACUUGUUAUUUGUGCUUACAAUAGUAUAUGAAAUUGUAUUCAGUCGCAGACCAUUAGGUUAAGUGGCUCUCUCUAACAUCCUUUUAACAUUUAGAAU